CAGUAGAACGCUGAAGAGAGGAGCUUGCUCUUCUUGGAUGAGUUGCCAACGGGUGAGUAACGCGUAGGUAACCUGCCUUGUAGCGGGGGAUAACUAUUGGAAACGAUAGCUAAUACCGCAUAACAAUGGAUGACACAUGUCAUUUAUUUGAAAGGGGCAAUUGCUCCACUACAAGAUGGACCUGCGUUGUAUUAGCUAGUAGGUGAGGUAACGGCUCACCUAGGCGACGAUACAUAGCCGGCCUGAGAGGGUGAUCGGCCACACUGGGACUGAGACACGGCCCAGACUCCUACGGGAGGCAGCAGUAGGGAAUCUUCGGCAAUGGGGGCAACCCUGACCGAGCAACGCCGCGUGAGUGAAGAAGGUUUUCGGAUCGUAAAGCUCUGUUGUAAGUCAAGAACGAGUGUGAGAGUGGAAAGUUCACACUGUGACGGUAGCUUACCAGAAAGGGACGGCUAACUACGUGCCAGCAGCCGCGGUAAUACGUAGGUCCCGAGCAUUGUCCGGAUUUAUUGGGCGUAAAGCGAGCGCAGGCGGUUUGAUAAGUCUGAAGUUAAAGGCUGUGGCUCAACCAUAGUUCGCUUUGGAAACUGUCAAACUUGAGUGCAGAAGGGGAGAGUGGAAUUCCAUGUGUAGCGGUGAAAUGCGUAGAUAUAUGGAGGAACACCGGUGGCGAAAGCGGCUCUCUGGUCUGUAACUGGCGCUGAGGCUCGAAAGCGUGGGGAGCGAACAGGAUUAGAUACCCUGGUAGUCCACGCC
rnacentral:rRNA from 1 species